CCUCAGCCAGACGCCUGAGUCACUCAGGUUCUCCUGGGUUUCUCUCAUGUGUAUAUGCUAUUAAACUUUGUUUGAUUUUCUGGGCUAACCUACCUCUGAUUAUUUCAUCAGCCAGAAGAACCUUAAGGAAAAGCUUGGUGGGGGGAAUUCUCCCACUUCCCCAACGGUUUUGGCGUCGUCGGCAGGAUCCUCACUGGCUGGCAAACCACCUUCUCUGGCUGGAAGAACUGCCUCCCACCUGGGACCACUGCAGGUGAGGAGAUCCCGAGUCACCUGACGAAAGCCGGCAAGGGGUAGGAUUUCUUACCGCGUCAGCCUCCCUGAAUCUCUAUCUGCAGGGUCCGGUGGAAGCAAGUGGUCAAGCACAGACCAAACACCCCCUUAUGCCAGUUUACCAAGCCUUGGAAUCAGUCUGACUGUUGGUUAUGUCAACAGCUAGAUAGCAUAAAAGAACCUGAACUGGUCUUUGUUCCUGCUGAAGUGAACACCUGGUGGACUAAGUAUGGAAGAUGGAUGAACAGCAGGGCAUGGCGUCCACGACAAGGAAAACUUCACUCUGCCUCUCCUCCUGUCCCCAGCUCAGCUUUUAAUAUCUGAAACCUCCAGGGAAGUUGCAGAGGAGGGAACUGAUGGGGUUGAGGGCUGGCCGCCCCAAGAUGUGCAGUCUGUUAUGUCGAUUAUUUCCAGCUGAAGACAAUAAAGGCUCAGAAGACUCAGGAAGAGCAUCUGAACUUUCCCCUCACAAACUGCCUAAAAGACUUGACCACAGAAGGCCUGUUCCAGGAAGGAGCUCCUGUAGGAUAGCUGUAGUAUGAUGUAAAAUAGGUGUGAUAAAAAGACACCAACAAACCCAUUUUUUGGCCCAGAAAAACCUGUUUAACAGAUUUGCAUUCCAUCUCCAUAUAAAUUGUCUUCCCCUCUGAAAUCCCAAACCACUACCCCCAACAUCCUCCUUGUCUGUA